rnacentral:ncRNA from 1 species
UAUUCUCAGGGCGGGGCGAAAUUCCCCACCGGCGGUAAAUCAGCUACGGCUGAAAGCCCGCGAGCGCUUCCCAUGUCCAAUGGGAGGGUCAGCAGAUCCGGUGUAAUUCCGGGGCCGACGGUUAAAGUCCGGAUGGGAGAGAGU